rnacentral:snRNA from 1 species
AUACUUACCUGGUAGGGAGAUACCAUGAUCACAAAGGUGGUUUUCCCAGGGCGAGGCUUAUCCAUUGCACUCCGGAUGUGCUGACCCCUGCGAUUUCCCCAAAUGUGGGAAACUCGACUGCAUAAUUGGUGGUAGUGGGGGACUGCGUUCGCGCUCUCCCCUG